GAUGAACGCUGGCGGCGUGCCUAAUACAUGCAAGUCGAGCGAACAGACGAGGAGCUUGCUCCUCUGACGUUAGCGGCGGACGGGUGAGUAACACGUGGAUAACCUACCUAUAAGACUGGGAUAACUUCGGGAAACCGGAGCUAAUACCGGAUAAUAUAUUGAACCGCAUGGUUCAAUAGUGAAAGACGGUUUUGCUGUCACUUAUAGAUGGAUCCGCGCUGCAUUAGCUAGUUGGUAAGGUAACGGCUUACCAAGGCAACGAUGCGUAGCCGACCUGAGAGGGUGAUCGGCCACCCGGGAACUGAGACACGGUCCAGACUCCUACGGGAGGCAGCAGUAGGGAAUCUUCCGCAAUGGGCGAAAGCCUUACGGAGCAACGCCGCGUGAGUGAUGAAGGUCUUCGGAUCGUAAAACUCUGUUAUUAGGGAAGAACAAAUGUGUAAGUAACUAUGCACGUCUUGACGGUACCUAAUCAGAAAGCCACGGCUAACUACGUG
rnacentral:rRNA from 1 species